rnacentral:tmRNA from 1 species
GGGGUCGUUUGGUUUUGACAGCACGUUAAGAGGGAAUGUAAGCACGCCGAGCGUUGAAGAUUUGCUCGCUAAUCUCAAUUUUCGCGCCAAUAACUGGCAACAAUACAUCUUAUGCACUCGCUGCGUAGUCAAGGAUUACCCACAGUGCUGCUUCGCUAACAACUUCGCUUGGUUUCUUGUUAGCAUUGAAGCAUCAAGCUAAAAUCAGGUCGACAAGUUUAACGCUUCUAAAAACUUGUUCGUAUGAAGAAGAUAAGUCCGAUUCGGUUUGUUCUUGACCAAAAAUCGGGUCGAAAAUCCCAAUAAGAAAUAAGCGUGUAGAAAUCAUUUUGGCUUCGUGUUUGGACGGCGGUUCGAAUCCGCCCGACUCCAC